AAGAAAUUUUGAAGAGACAGAGAUCUUAUACCACUGUUGUGGCUGAGUUUGAUCUUGUGAUGCAGACAGUGAAAGCUGGAACUCGUGAUUCAGAAUCUUGUUUGAAAGAGGAGACCUGCCUUCCAUUAGGGGGAUACAGUGUUUGGUCAUCACUUCCUCCGCUUAAUAUCUCCUCCUUAGAUCAGGGUAAGCCUAUUAUAUUGACUGUGGCGUCAAUGGAUUCGGCUUCAUUUUUCCGUGACAAAAGCCUUGGUGCAGACUCCCCAAUAUCA